GCCCAAGUGGCGCGAUGGGUCAGUGUGCCUAGCUGUUAACCAGAAGAUUGGUGGUUCGAACCCACUCAGGGACA